AGCAUAUGUCAAAAAGUCCAAUCCAGCAAAUUUCAGAGAAGAGUUCCUUCUCAGUUUUCUCUGUGAAUUUUUUUCCGUGAAAAAUACAAAGGAGGAAGUGGAGCUGUAGAGAAAAAAUGGAGGGGAAAACGGAGAAGGAAAACAAGUUUGUGAGGAAGACGGCGUGUGAUGUGGAGGCUCUGAAGAAGUGUUUGGAAGAAAAUAAAGGCGACUAUUUGAAAUGUCAGUCUCAUGUUGAAGCAUUUAGGUCAUCUUGCUCUAUCAACAAUUCUAAUUCUUCUUCACCAAAGCUCAAUUCCGUUGUCGAGGACCUCAAGUAAGCAACUUGAACGAAGAUUGGAGGACUGAAAUCCGUGUCUUUUGCUGCUAGCAGUAAUAAAACCAGAAAGAAGAUUCAAGUGUAAGUCACCACAUUGUUUGUAACAUUCCUCAAUUAAGGAUAUAGGUUUCUUAUCUUUGCUAUUUCUUCAGCUUUAAUAUCUUUUCAGAUACUCUCCCAGAAAUUUGUAGUUUGUGAUAAGUAGCAAAGAAGAGAACUAAUGAGGAAAACAAAAUGUUGGUGGAUGAGCAGUUGAAGAUUAUAUUGGCUGCUUUUAGUUUGUACAUGCAAGUAUUUCCUGUCACAAUAUGAAGAACUGAGUAAUUUAAAGUUCCAGUGGCAAAUUUAGUGACAAAAAAA